GCUCACUGUUCGAUCUGUUGCGUCGUAACCACGCGGUUUUACCCCAAUUGCUCUAAGGAAAUUGCACAUCCGUGCGUGGACCUAUCGGUUUACUACCACGAUUCCUCCCUUAGGCCAACAAUUCCUAGGAAUUGUUACACGCCACUACAACUAUAUCCCCUAUUUCUGUCGGCCGCAUCGGUUCGGACCGCUCGGUUCUGUGGUGAAGUGUAGAAACCCAUCACGCUUGAACGCCUUUUUGUUGUAGGGCAAAUUGACGCUGUUGUACCGCCACAAAGGUCCCAUUUCGUAUCGCUGUCCGUUCGUUUCCCGCUCCAAUAUCGCCAACGCUCUUUCGUCGUCCCUAGGCCGCAACGGCCGCACUGCUUUGUCCGACGCGGAGUUACAAGAGAGGUCGUGAAACGCGCGGCCCGAGAAGGACCGGUUUGAAGGACUCGGCUUUGCACUCGCAACCGAGCAAGGCCCAUAGACAACCCAUCCAAGGCGGGUUUUCGAAGCGACCGGUUCUUUGCAGCUUGCAUCCACGGUCUUGAGGGUUCGCGUUAUGUUGCAGUUGUCUAUGCCUAUGAGGAUGCGGGGCACGGCGUAAGCGUAGGAUUCGAACUGGAGACCUCUCAGAUGAGUAUAGCGUGCAGUCAGUUGUGCUACGUUUACAGAUUGUUCCGGAAGGGCAAGCUCUUUGACCGUGUGUACUUCUGAUAGUUUGUAUAUCGCAUGUGACAUGUUUCUACCCGAUAUGCGCACCGAUAGCCUUACGGAGUCUUGUUCUUCUCUUGUCACGUCUCCCGUCCAUUGUAGACACAACGGGUACGGUGUCCCUGUAACUCCAAGCUCCUGUGCUAGUCCGUGCUCCAUAAACGUGGAAGUAGAGCCGUCAUCUAAAAAGGCGAACGUAUCUAUUCGCCCCCUGGGCCCGUGCAGC